AGCGAACGCUGGCGGCAGGCCUAACACAUGCAAGUCGAACGAAGCCUCCGGGCUUAGUGGCGGACGGGUGAGUAACACGUGGGAACGUACCUUUUGGUUCGGAAUAACGCAGAGAAAUUUGCGCUAAUACCGAAUGAGCCCUUCGGGGGAAAGAUUUAUCGCCGAAAGAUCGGCCCGCGUUGGAUUAGGUAGUUGGUGUGGUAAAGGCGCACCAAGCCUACGAUCCAUAGCUGGUCUGAGAGGAUGAUCAGCCACACUGGGACUGAGACACGGCCCAGACUCCUACGGGAGGCAGCAGUGGGGAAUCUUGCGCAAUGGGCGAAAGCUUGACGCAGCCAUGCCGCGUGAAUGAUGAAGGUCUUAGGAUUGUAAAAUUCUUUUACCAGGGACGAUAAUGACGGUACCUGGAGAAAAAGCCCCGGCUAACUUCGUGCCAGCCGCCGCCGUAAGAC
rnacentral:rRNA from 1 species